AUAAAUAAUUUGACACAUUUUUGUUUCGCUCACACAUUCUGCAAUGAAUCAACUCUUUACUAGUGUGACUUUAUUUUCCUUAUUAAUUUCUUGUUUUUGCGAUGCAGGCAGUGUCACACAAACACAACCUUAUUUAUCUGCUGUUGAAGGUUACUGUGUUACACUGGAAUGUACUUAUUCAACGCAGCAGCCUAACUACGAUCUCUUCUGGUACAAACGUGACAGUAUUCAGAAACUAACAUUUCUUUUCUGGAAGUAUUCUGGUGGUUACAUGAACAACAAAGCAGGAAACAGAUUUUCGGUAACUCUGGAUACUGAGAAACAUGUUUUUAAGUUACAAAUAUGUGAUCUACAGCUUAAUGAUUCUACAACAUAUUACUGUGGUUUCAGUGAUGCACAGUGCUUUAAAAUACGAACAGACUCUUUCAAAAAGUCAUUAUCCUUCCUAACUCACCAGAAGCUCACUUAGAAAGUACAGCACCUUGGAAUAAAUACUGUAUAAAUAUUUGAUUUUUUAGACUGGGAAUUAUUCUUAUUUCUGUGCCA